GGUUUAGCGUUAAGUUUAGCGUUAGGGUUUAGGGAAUGCACGAAUUUGCCCUCCGUGAUUAUGUCAUUGCGGUAGGGUCACGUUUUUCCUUAGCGCUUAGAACGGCGCGAAUUAGUCUUUGCACUUAUGUCUCCGCGGAUAAGGGCUUCGCGGAUUUGUGGUGGAACCGAAGUCCACAAGUCUUCAAAUUACCGAGGUUGGAUACCCCUGCUGUAAAAAUGUAUUGUGGCUCCUACUUUCCAAUUUUGACAGUAUAGAAUUUGUUUUAGCAUGGAGUGUCCGAGCAUUCCUGUUUUCAUCUCCCCUUUUUUCUCCCUCCUCUGCUGUUUUUCACCCGACCGAAGAUUUACGGACACUGAGAACGUUUUUGGCCGUGCUUGGCAAAGGAUGCCUCGCGUCUUCUUUCAACUGUCUGUACCUGUACACGGGAGAACUGUACCCCACGGUGAUCAGACAAACCGGGAUGGGGCUCGGGAGCACCCUGGCCCGUGUGGGUGGCAUUGUGGCACCCAUGAUCAAAAUGACGGGUGAACAUUGUUCCUAUCUUCCAUCGCUCAUCUACGGGACGGCCCCCAUCCUCUCGGGUAUUGCCGCCGUCUUCCUGCCCGAGACCCUCAACGUGCCGCUUCCUGAUACUAUAGACGAGGUGGAAGGGAGAAUAACCCCGGAGAGACAGUCCCUUACCGGUCAGAGCCAAGAACCAGUUUUGCUCCAGAAAUUGGAGCAAAAGAAAACCCUGGAUGGCGAAAUUUGCUAAAAUGGGGAAAACAAGGAAUCAGAAAUUACUGCAAGUUCAUUAGAUGUGUUUAAUUGUCUUAUUAUUUUUUUUGCCUUUGGGUGGGAGGUUGGAUUUCCAGAUUUUAAAAAAAAUCAACCAAAUAAAUGAAUAAGUAUUGUUGAAAAUUGUAGUCAUGCCUCUCUGAUAUUUUGACGACUGGACUAAGUCCCAUCUCUAAGAAUGUGCUAAUAUGCAAGUAGUCCUCAACAUACAAAUCAUUCAUUUAGUGACAUUUCAAAGUUAUACAGGUGUUUUCUUGACUUAUAGCCAUAGUUGGGACUCAAUUCGCACUAAAAUAUGAUUUUAGAAUUCUGAACGAACGACCACCUUUUGCGAUCACCUCAUGACAAAGGGAAGUCAAGGGGGAAGCCUGAUUCACUUAACAACCGGGUUAAGAAAAUCCA